UACGUAGGGUGCAAGCGUUGUCCGGAAUUAUUGGGCGUAAAGAGCUCGUAGGCGGUUUGUCGCGUCUGCUGUGAAAACUCGGGGCUUAACUCCGGGCCUGCAGUGGGUACGGGCAGACUAGAGUGCGGUAGGGGAGACUGGAAUUCCUGGUGUAGCGGUGAAAUGCGCAGAUAUCAGGUGGAACACCCGUAGCGAAGGCGGCAUUCUGGGCCGAUACUGACGCUGAGGAGCGAAAGCGUGGGGAGCGAACAGG
rnacentral:rRNA from 1 species